GCGAGGAGAGCUUGCUCUCUUGGGCGGGCGAGUGGCGGACGGGGUGAGUAAUAUAUCGGAACGUGCCCAGUAGCGGGGGAUAACUACUCGAAAGAGUGGCUAAUACCGCAUACGCCCUACGGGGGAAAGGGGGGGAUCGCAAGACCUCUCACUAUUGGAGCGGCCGAUAUCGGAUUAGCUAGUUGGUGGGGUAAAGGCUCACCAAGGCAACGAUCCGUAGCUGGUUUGAGAGGACGACCAGCCACACUGGGACUGAGACACGGCCCAGACUCCUACGGGAGGCAGCAGUGGGGAAUUUUGGACAAUGGGGGAAACCCUGAUCCAGCCAUCCCGCGUGUAUGAUGAAGGCCUUCGGGUUGUAAAGUACUUUUGGCAGAGAAGAAAAGGUAUCCCCUAUACGGGAUACUGCUGACGGUAU
rnacentral:rRNA from 1 species